UUUGCUCUAUCAUUAAUGACAAGUCACUUAAUCAUUUGAUCAGUCAGUGGGAGGAGUUAGUUAACCAUGACUGGGUCAGAAGGUCUGCGCUAUUAAGAAAUAUAUCUCUCUAUUUGUCCGCCAUCACAAAAGGUUCCCGUAAAUUUUGACAUCACAAUGCAAAAUAUCUGACGCCCCAGUGGAAAAGUGACAGUUGUAUGGCGUCAAUAGUUGAAAUGGUGUUGAUUAUCUGGUCCACCAAGCAUAUAUCCAAAUACCAAAUUAUAAGGACG
rnacentral:lncRNA from 1 species